CGCUAUCAUCAUUAACUUUAUUUAUUACCGUCAUUCAUUUCUGAAUGUCUGUUUACCCCUAUUUCAGCCGAAUGCUUCGCAUUCGGUUUUUUUU
rnacentral:other from 1 species